CCUACGGGAGGCAGCAGUAAGGAAUAUUGGUUCAAUGGACGCAAGUCUGAACCAGCCAUGCCGCGUGAAGGAUGACAGCCCUACGGGUUGUAAACUUCUUUUAUCGGGGAAUAAAGUGCGCCACGCGUGGCGUUUUGUAAGUACCCGAGGAAUAAGGAUCGGCUAAAUCC
rnacentral:rRNA from 1 species